rnacentral:tRNA from 1 species
UAAAACAUAGUAUAACAAUUAAUACGUUUCACUUACACUGAAAAUAUAUCUGUGUAUAUAGAUUGUUUUUA